rnacentral:misc_RNA from 1 species
CAGAGGUUGUUAUUCCUGAUCAGGCACUUGUCUUGGAUUGGGUUUUUGCUGAUGGUCCACCCAAGCAUGCCAUUGCUUAUGAUAACAAUCACCGCCAAGACUUCCAUGCCAUUGUCCCCAAGCAGAUUCCGGAGGAAUUAUAUUGGGUUGAGGAAGAACAUCAGAUCUUUAAGAAACUUCAGGAGGAGAGAAGGCUUAGAGAAGCCGCUAUGCGUGCUAAGGCUGAAAAAACAGCACUUCUGAAAGCUGAAACAAAGGAAAGAACUAUGAAAUCAUUUUUACUAUCUCAGAAGCAUGUAGUAUAUACUGAGCCUCUUGAUAUCCAAGCUGGAAGCAGCGUCACAGUUUACUAUAAUCCCGCCAAUACAGUACUUAGUGGUAAACCUGAAAUUUGGUUCAGAUGUUCAUUUAAUCGCUGGACACACCGCCUAG